rfam:Oryza glaberrima chromosome 7 Oglab07_0003_27, whole genome shotgun sequence.
GCGCCUCUACCUCCACCCACUCAGCCGCCACGUGGCGGCCGAGUGAGGGCCUCGGGGUAGCAC